rnacentral:rRNA from 1 species
UACGUAGGGGGCAAGCGUUGUCCGGAAUCAUUGGGCGUAAAGAGCGUGUAGGCGGUCCGGUAAGUCGGCUGUGAAAGUCCAGGGCUCAACCCUAGGAUGCCGGUCGAUACUGCCGGACUAGAGUUCGGAAGAGGCGAGUGGAAUUCCCGGUGUAGCGGUGAAAUGCGCAGAUAUCGGGAGGAACACCUAUGGCGAAGGCAGCUCGCUGGGACGUUACUGACGCUGAGACGCGAAAGCGUGGGGAGCAAACAGG